rnacentral:lncRNA from 1 species
GGGAGAGGAGGGCUGCGGGGACAGGAGUGGCCCAUGCCAGGGAGCCUUUGUGAGAGAGGGAAGGUGCUGGGGGCCCCCACUGCCCCUGACCUGCCCUGAGCCUGGCUCCCCGUGGGAGUCCCUGACAGUCCUCCUGACAGCCAGGGAGGCGGCUAUCCAUCCCCUGCCUCCCGCAGCCCAGGUGGGACUGUGGUCCCCGGAUCCCGUGGUCCCCGAGUCCCGUCCUUUCACACAGGCUUCAGAGGAGGAGCAGCCCGUGGCGGAAUCGAACGUGAGACGUGCUGAAUUCUGAAGGUAAAACCAGAGACUCGGAGGCCUCCCAGCUGUGAGAGCAGCGGCCUUGUUUGACAAGCCGCGUCCCCCAGGCUGAGGUCACUGUCCCUGGUGGUGAGUGUGCUCAGGUGGGAAGCGGGGGGCUUGCUGGACACUCUCCUGGCUUGGGAGGGGACAGGGAGCGGGGGCCUCAGGGUACUCAGUGUGUCCCCAGCGAGCUUCACCAUGGAGCCCCAGGAUCCUCUCAACACACCCGCCCGCCUCAUUCCCAGGGGUAGAAACUGAGGUCCAUACAGAUGAAAUGACCAUGGGCCUCCGGAGCAGCCAGUGCACCACGGCCUUGGCCCAGUGGCUCCACCUCCCAGGACCUUGGUGUCCCCUUCUGGGAAUGGGGAGGUCGCUUAACUGAGGCCUUUCUGAGCCCCAGAUGAUAAAAUUAAAAUUGCCGUAAAACCGUCACGGCGGGGAGGGCCUGUCUCAGUGAGUUUUCUGUUGCUGUAACAAAGUACUCGAGCCGGGCGCGGUGACGCCCGCCUGUGGUCCUAGCAGCUCAGGAGGCUGAGGCUGGAGGAUCACAAGUUCAAAGCCAGCCUCAGCAACUUACUGAGACCCUGUCUCUAAAUAAAAAAUAAAAAGAGCCGGGGAUGUGACUCAGGGGGUAAGAGCCCCUGGGUUCAAUCCCUGGUACAAAAAACAAAACCCAACAAGAUGCCUGAGUCUAGGGAAUUCAUGAAGAAUAGAGGUCCACUGGCUCUCAGUUCUGGAGGCUGGGAGGUCCAGGGCCAAGGCAUGGGUACCGCGAGGAACCUUCAUCUCCUCCCAAAGGCCUGCCUUGGAAUACUAUCCCCGUGGGAAUUAGUUUCCAGCACGUGAACUUUGGGGGGACACACUGAAGUCACUGGGCCUGGCUGUGGCGAUGGACAGGGAGCCCGAGGCCCAGGCAGGAGGAGGCUGGGGGCGUGGGUGUGGUCACCAGCCUUUGGGGAGCCAAGGGCGUGCAGGGCCAUUUCACAGCCAGGGCUGGCCUGAGGCCACCUGGGCAGGGGACGCGAUGGGAUCUGGACUCUGUGGGUCUGAGUCGGAGCUGGACUUCUUCGGCCCUGGCUGGCUGCCCCCCAGGGCUCGGCCCCUGCCUCUCCUCUGAGGGCAGCUGGGGUCGACGCUGGGGGCAUCCCUUCCUGGACUCUCCUUCCAGUGACCUCAUUCCAGACCCUUCCCUUCCCCUGCACCUCCAUCACCCUCCCUCCGCUCUGCACCCACCCUGGCUCCCCAGGCCCCACCCCUGGCCAUCCUGAGGGCUCCCGCCACACAGCUGUCCCUGCAGAAGCUGCCCAGCCAGUCAUUUAGCUCAAGGAGGUGACUUGGCUGUGGUCUCCUGAGACAGGGACUCUCUGUCCCCUUCCUGCCUGGGUUCCUUGGGCUCUGCCCCUGAGGGGCCCCUGGAGACCCAUCUCCUGGCUGGGACACCCAGCGGGACCCCAAGCCCCCGGAGACCCAGAGAUCCCCUGGACACGGCUCUCCGCCCGGCUCUGGGCACCUUCCACACACUGGCGUUUGGUUACGCAAGAAAUUCAGAUUCAUUGCCCCAAAUUGGAUAAUACACAUAAACAAACAGCGAGAGGAAAGUGAGUCACCCUGUCGCUCAGCAGGCAGCGCCGGCCUGUCACACUUCGUCCCCGUCCCCGCAGGAACUCUUAACUUUCAACCAAACCAGAAACUGGCUACUGGGGCUUUGACCCAGCACGUCGGUCCCCUGUCCCCUGUGCCUGGCAUUGGGCCAGGGGUGUGGGGUGGACCAGGAGCCCGAGGAGGGGGUCCUAUUAUUUUGGCCACUUGGUAGAUGGGGAGAGGUUCAGAGGUCCAGCAUCCCUCCCACCAGUGGCUUGCUCAAGGUUACCCGGCUGCCAAAGCUGGGGAGCUGGGCUGGGGUCAGGCACUGGCCUCCCAGAGUCCAGAGCUCGGUGGGCCAGGUGCUGUGGGACCCCCGCUGCUGCUGGGCUUCCCCUCCCCCAGGAGCCAGGGCAGGCGCUCAGCAUCCCGCCAUUAGCAUAUCCAUGAGCAUCCCUGAAACCCAAUUACCCAGAGGGCUUGGGCCCCAGCCAGCCGUCCUGCCAUCUCUGCAGGAAGAGGGGCCGGGGCCCUGGCAGACCGCUGGGGGAGAGUGCAGGUAGGGAACCCGGGGGCUGGGGAGGGCCUGCUGGUGGCUGUGGACCCCACCCCUGCCCAGCGUUGGGCGGGCGGCCUCCUCUGCCCAGCUGCAGCGGGGUGGGUCCUACUUCCCCAAGGAGGCACCCUGGGUUCUGCUGCCCCCUCCAGCGUCCCCUCCCACCUGGCAGCCCCUCAGCGCCCCCCCCCCCAGCUCCUGGGACUCUUUUCCACUUAUUUCUUACAUAGAAAAGCGCGUGUAUGUACAGAUGUGAGCGCUACGGUCUGCAGGUCCCCCCAGCUCACGUGCUGGAAGCUUAACCCCACAUUUCACGUGUGGAUGGUGUUUGGAGGUGACCCUUUGGGAGGUGAGGAAGGCUCGAUGAGGUCAUGAGGGUGCCCCCCACCCCCAUGGCAUGGGUGGCCUUCUGCGAAGUGGGACCUGAGCUGGCCUGGUGCUCACGCGGUGUCCUGCGCCAGGCUGUGCUGCAGGAAGAAGGCCCUGAACAGACACACCCAUGCCGCCGUCCUGGGCUUCCCAGCCUCCAGAACCAGAACCGCGACCCAAGGACCCAAGAAACCUUUAUUCUUUGUCAGUCACCCCGGCUCAGGCGUUCACUUAGAGCAAGGAAACGGCCCAGGGCCAGCCUGAAGGCCAGCGACAAGGCAGCAGAUUUGUCCACCAGGCCCACGCCGCUCACCCAGGCUGGAACGUUCCAGGGUGAGGCAGCCCCACGCCCGGCGUCCUGUCCUUUCUCUCCCGACCCAUGGACAGGUGUGCCCAGCUUCGCCUCCUGCGGGCAACGGCGUGUCAUCCGUGCACGUCUGUGUGCACAUGUGCCGGCGUUUCUCUGGGAGCAGGUUGCAGGGUUGUGGUAUAUGCACAUCUUUACUGGUUAUUGCCAAAUUGCUCUCCAAAGUGGUUGUUCAGAUGAUCGUUUUAAAAUAUAAAUUAGAUCAUGUCACUUCCCUGAUCAAAACUCUCAAAUAGCUUCCUAUUAUACGUAGAACAAAAUCCAUAUUCCCCUCCACGAACACCCGGCUGCGUUCCAAAGUCUGCUCUCCCCUCCCCCGCAACUUUCUGGCCUCCUUUUUUUUUUCUUUUCUUUUUUUAAAUGGCCCUGGCUUUCUCAUGCCCCAGGGCCUUUGUACAUACUGUUCCCUCUGUCUCACACACUCUUCUUUUAGCUCUUUCCAAACUGGCUCCUUCUGAUCUUUCAGGUCCCAGUGAAAAUGUUACCUCCUCUAAGGAGCCUCCCCAGCCCACCCAGUUGAAGUAUCUGCCUAUUUCUGUCAUCACUUCCUUUGGAGUCCACAGCAUGGUUCUAUAAUGAUCUUUUACUCUUUGCCUGCUGGUUUAUCAUUAAUUGGCCUGGCGGCCUAUGGCAGGAGGGCCUCAUCUGCCUCAUUUCCUCCUGGAUUCCAAAGGCCAGCAUGGGCCUGGCACCCAAGGGCUAUUCUUAGGACCACUUAUCCGUUCAAUAGACCUUGCUUCAGCCACCAUGUCUGGAGCGGUGGAUGACAAUGUGCCUGGUGUGUGGGGGGGUGGGCUACGGGAGAGGGGACACAGCAGAGGGGAGUGCGCUGAGUUGAAGGUAGGGUCAGGCCCACGGCCUGUGUGGAACCUUCCCCACGGCCAUGGGGAAUCAUGAAAGGUGCUGGAGCCAGGAGCAGCGGGGUUGACUUGCAUUUUAGAAGUGAGAGGGGCAGUGAAUUGCAGGAGGUGGUGGCUAUGUGCACAAAACACUGCCCACGGCUUGAGUGGGAGGUGGACACCAGGAGGAUCCUCCCUGGACCCCAGCAAGGCCCCCUCGACUGAACCCCCCCCACCUCGUACAGCUGGGAACUGAGACCCUAGGAGGAGAGGAACCCGAAGCAAGAUGCUGAGGGUCCUCAAGUGGGAGUCCCCCCCUGCCCUGGACAGCCAUCUGACCCCUCCAGGGUCUUGUCCUAUGGGGACAAGAGGGCAGCCCAGCGGGGUCCCUGCUCUGCCCACCGCAGGGACCCCCUGGCUCGGGUAUCCUCUCCUCUCUGCCCUCCUGCCCUCCCAGCUUGGGCUCCGCACGGGGGAAGGAGAGGGAGGAGGAGGCUGGCCGUGGCCGCCAUUGGUAUGCGAGGCCCAGCCUCGGCCCUCAGCGGCCCAACCUUCCUGCUCGGCUCUUUAAGAAUCCCUCCUCGGAGCUGCCGCGUGGUGGUUGCCGGGCAACCACAUCCCGCCCCGCCCCCACGGCUGGCGCUGGCUCCCUCCCCUCCCCCUCCCCGGCUCCUCCCUCCCCGCCCGCCUCAGCGGCGCCCGGGCCUGGGCACCUGGGCCUGCAGGUGAGGGGCUGGGGGUGAGCCCGCCCAACCUGGCCCCUGAGCAGGCUCAGUACCCCCGGAUCUGGAGAGGGGGACCCGGGCUUAGCACAUCCUUGCUCAUCACCCUGGAGCCCCCCGUGGGGCAGGUGGAGACUGGGGGAGGGUUCCAGAAGACGAUGUCUCUUUCUUCCCCAGAACUCUGGGAGGGGACCUGGGCUCAGAAGCCCAGUCCUGAUUCCCAUCCCCUCCCGGGGCUCGGUCUUGAGUGGUUUCUGCUGCCCUGCAGAGGUGGGGGGCUGGGGAGGCUGGGGGAGGCCCAGGAGGUGCCUGAGUCCCAGCGCAGGUGAGGGGAGAGGGCCCUCUCUCUGCAGCCCCCGGCCGGGCUGGCUGAGCUGGGCCCUUGGACCCUGGCAUGAGGCCUAGAGAGCCCCAGGGUCCUGGGGAGACUGAGGCAGUAGCCAUCUUGGACAGGGACAGGGACAGGAUGGAGAGGGAGGAGGUGAGGACCCUAGAGGCUCUGGGUCCCUGAAGAACCCCCCAGCCCCUGGCCUCACCCUCCCCUUCCCUCUGGCCCUCAGGGGGAGCUCCCGAUCUUGGGCUGACACCCCCCCCACAGCCCGCCUCGCCCUUGCUGUCCAGCUCCCAUGCUGUCCCUCUCGUGGCUGGCCUUCGAGGCAGAAUCCACAUUUCCUCCUGUGGAGGGUGUGUGAACCGGUGCACGCUGGCCAGUCAAGAAAGCCGAGGUCUCCACAGAAGCAAGUCCUCUCCUGGGGAUAAUGGCUGGGCAUCUGGAAGGCGUGGGGACAGGGGAGGUGGUAUCACUGGUGGGAAGAAGAGGAGGCUCACAGGGGGAAGGAGGGGCCCAUGAGAAAGGCUCGGGACCCACAGCCCAGUCCUGCCGCCUGGAACCUCCUUCAGGUGGCAAGGUCCCGCCUGUCUGUCCCUCUCUGGAGGUUUCUCCCCACCAUCCAGGGGCACCUGUUGGUCUUGGUCUCUACCCCCCACCAGCCGAGACCCCACCCUGCCCUCUCCCCAGGAGCUGUAAAUGGGUCUGGCCUCUCUCUGAGACCCUGGAACCAUCAUUCUGGGGGAGUUCCCAAUUUUAGGAGUCAUGGCUGGCCUUGGGACAGCUCUGUCACUGUGACUCGCCUCAGUGUUAUAGUCAUUCACUCAGUAAUGCUGGGCUAUGCUCUCCCCAUGCACAGGGCUGUGUGGCAGCUGCUGGGGACACAGAGGGACCAAAACAGAUCCUGGCUGUGACUUCCCAGUGCUGGAGGUCAGGUGGAAGAGACGGGCACUAACCAGACACACAUCUGGGGUACAGACCCCCGUCCUAAGUCACGUGCUGUUUUACAUCUGUCCCAGGAGGAAGCCACCCCCUGUGAAAUCAUCAGCCAUGCCCUGAUUCCAGAGAGGGGCAAGUGGCGUCCAGUGGCUGAAAAAUGGAGUCCCACGAGUCAUGGGAAGUCACAAAUGAACUAAGAGCCACCAUCGAGAAGCAGGGAGCAGAGAGAACAAGCUGAAGGCGUGGUGUGGGUGUUUGUCCUCCCAAAUCCAUGUUGGAAUUUCAUCCCCAAUGCCAUAUGUUGAUGGCUUGGAGGGAGGUUUUGGGCAGGUAAUUAGGAUCAGAUGAGGUCAUGAGGGUGGGACCCCCAUGAUGGCAUUAGUGCCUCCUGCCUGUCUUCCUUAUGGUGGGCAGUCCUAGCCAGGUGGCACACAUCUGGAAUCCCAGGGACUUGGGAGGCUGAGGCAGGAGG